rnacentral:tRNA from 1 species
GCCUGGGUGGCUCAGUUGGUUGAGCGUCUGACUUCGGCUCAGGUCAUGAUCUCACAACUCGUGGGCCCCAGCCCCACAUCAGGCU